UUAAGCGACUAAGCGUACACGGUGGAUGCCCUGGCAGUCAGAGGCGAUGAAGGACGUGCUAAUCUGCGAAAAGCGUCGGUAAGGUGAUAUGAACCGUUAUAACCGGCGAUGUCCGAAUGGGGAAACCCAGUGCAAUUCGUUGCACUAUCGUUAACUGAAUACAUAGGUUAACGAGGCGAACCGGGGGAACUGAAACAUCUAAGUACCCCGAGGAAAAGAAAUCAACCGAGAUUCCCCCAGUAGCGGCGAGCGAACGGGGAGCAGCCCAGAGUCUGAAUCAGCUUGUGUGUUAGUGGAACGGUCUGGAAAGUCCGACGGUACAGGGUGAUAGUCCCGUACACCAAAAUGCACAGGCUGUGAACUCGAAGAGUAGGGCGGGACACGUGGUAUCCUGUCUGAAUAUGGGGGGACCAUCCUCCAAGGCUAAAUACUCCUGACUGACCGAUAGUGAACCAGUACCGUGAGGGAAAGGCGAAAAGAACCCCGGCGAGGGGAGUGAAAAAGAACCUGAAACCGUGUACGUACAAGCAGUGGGAGCACCUUCGGGUGUGACUGCGUACCUUUUGUAUAAUGGGUCAGCGACUUAUAUUCUGUAGCAAGGUUAACCGUAUAGGGGAGCCGCAGGGAAACCGAGUCUUAACUGGGCGUUAAGUUGCAGGGUAUAGACCCGAAACCCGGUGAUCUAGCCAUGGGCAGGUUGAAGGUUGGGUAACACUAACUGGAGGACCGAACCGACUAAUGUUGAAAAAUUAGCGGAUGACUUGUGGCUGGGGGUGAAAGGCCAAUCAAACCGGGAGAUAGCUGGUUCUCCCCGAAAGCUAUUUAGGUAGCGCCUCGUGAACUCAUCUUCGGGGGUAGAGCACUGUUUCGGCUAGGGGGUCAUCCCGACUUACCAACCCGAUGCAAACUACGAAUACCGAAGAAUGUUAUCACGGGAGACACACGGCGGGUGCUAACGUCCGUCGUGAAGAGGGAAACAACCCAGACCGCCAGCUAAGGUCCCAAAGUCAUGGUUAAGUGGGAAACGAUGUGGGAAGGCACAGACAGCCAGGAUGUUGGCUUAGAAGCAGCCAUCAUUUAAAGAAAGCGUAAUAGCUCACUGGUCGAGUCGGCCUGCGCGGAAGAUGUAACGGGGCUAAACCAUGCACCGAAGCUGCGGCAGCGACACUAUGUGUUGUUGGGUAGGGGAGCGUUCUGUAAGCCUGCGAAGGUGUGCUGUGAGGCAUGCUGGAGGUAUCAGAAGUGCGAAUGCUGACAUAAGUAACGAUAAAGCGGGUGAAAAGCCCGCUCGCCGGAAGACCAAGGGUUCCUGUCCAACGUUAAUCGGGGCAGGGUGAGUCGACCCCUAAGGCGAGGCCGAAAGGCGUAGUCGAUGGGAAACAGGUUAAUAUUCCUGUACUUGGUGUUACUGCGAAGGGGGGACGGAGAAGGCUAUGUUAGCCGGGCGACGGUUGUCCCGGUUUAAGCAUGUAGGCUGGUUGUCCAGGCAAAUCCGGAUAAUCAAGGCUGAGGUGUGAUGACGAGGCACUACGGUGCUGAAGUAACAAAUGCCCUGCUUCCAGGAAAAGCCUCUAAGCAUCAGGUAACAUUAAAUCGUACCCCAAACCGACACAGGUGGUCAGGUAGAGAAUACCAAGGCGCUUGAGAGAACUCGGGUGAAGGAACUAGGCAAAAUGGUGCCGUAACUUCGGGAGAAGGCACGCUGGUGUGUAGGUGAAGCCCCUGCGGGUGGAGCUGAGACCAGUCGAAGAUACCAGCUGGCUGCAACUGUUUAUUAAAAACACAGCACUGUGCAAACACGAAAGUGGACGUAUACGGUGUGACGCCUGCCCGGUGCCGGAAGGUUAAUUGAUGGGGUUAUCCGUAAGGAGAAGCUCUUGAUCGAAGCCCCGGUAAACGGCGGCCGUAACUAUAACGGUCCUAAGGUAGCGAAAUUCCUUGUCGGGUAAGUUCCGACCUGCACGAAUGGCGUAAUGAUGGCCAGGCUGUCUCCACCCGAGACUCAGUGAAAUUGAACUCGCUGUGAAGAUGCAGUGUACCCGCGGCAAGACGGAAAGACCCCGUGAACCUUUACUAUAGCUUGACACUGAACAUUGAGCCUUGAUGUGUAGGAUAGGUGGGAGGCUUUGAAGCGUGGACGCCAGUCUGCGUGGAGCCAACCUUGAAAUACCACCCUUUAAUGUUUGAUGUUCUAACGUUGGCCCCUUACCGGGGUUGCGGACAGUGUCUGGUGGGUAGUUUGACUGGGGCGGUCUCCUCCCAAAGCGUAACGGAGGAGCACGAAGGUUAGCUAAUCCUGGUCGGACAUCAGGAGGUUAGUGCAAUGGCAUAAGCUAGCUUGACUGCGAGCGUGACGGCGCGAGCAGGUGCGAAAGCAGGUCAUAGUGAUCCGGUGGUUCUGAAUGGAAGGGCCAUCGCUCAACGGAUAAAAGGUACUCCGGGGAUAACAGGCUGAUACCGCCCAAGAGUUCAUAUCGACGGCGGUGUUUGGCACCUCGAUGUCGGCUCAUCACAUCCUGGGGCUGAAGUAGGUCCCAAGGGUAUGGCUGUUCGCCAUUUAAAGUGGUACGCGAGCUGGGUUUAGAACGUCGUGAGACAGUUCGGUCCCUAUCUGCCGUGGGCGCUGGAGAAUUGAGGGGGGCUGCUCCUAGUACGAGAGGACCGGAGUGGACGCAUCACUGGUGUUCGGGUUGUCAUGCCAAUGGCACUGCCCGGUAGCUAAAUGCGGAAGAGAUAAGUGCUGAAAGCAUCUAAGCACGAAACUUGCCCCGAGAUGAGUUCUCCCUGAGACUUUAAGUCUCCUGAAGGAACGUUGAAGACGACGACGUUGAUAGGCCGGGUGUGUAAGCGCAGCGAUGCGUUGAGCUAACCGGUACUAAUGAACCGUGAGGCUUAACCUU
rnacentral:rRNA from 1 species